AUUAGGAUCUCGUAGGUGACCUGCGGAGGGAUCAUUACACAAAUAUGAAGGCGGGCUGGAACCUCUCGGGGUUACAGCCUUGCUGAAUUAUUCACCCUUGUCUUUUGCGUACUUCUUGUUUCCUUGGUGGGUUCGCCCACCACUAGGACAAACAUAAACCUUUUGUAAUUGCAAUCAGCGUCAGUAACAAAUUAAUAAUUACAACUUUCAACAACGGAUCUCUUGGUUCUGGCAUCGAUGAAGAACGCAGCGAAAUGCGAUAAGUAGUGUGAAUUGCAGAAUUCAGUGAAUCAUCGAAUCUUUGAACGCACAUUGCGCCCUUUGGUAUUCCAAAGGGCAUGCCUGUUCGAGCGUCAUUUGUACCCUCAAGCUUUGCUUGGUGUUGGGCGUCUUGUCUCUAGCUUUGCUGGAGACUCGCCUUAAAGUAAUUGGCAGCCGGCCUACUGGUUUCGGAGCGCAGCACAAGUCGCACUCUCUAUCAGCAAAGGUCUAGCAUCCAUUAAGCCUUUUUUUCAACUUUUGACCUCGGAUCAGGUAGGGAUACCCGCUGAACUUA
rnacentral:rRNA from 1 species